rnacentral:rRNA from 1 species
GAUGAACGCUGGCGGCGUGCCUAAUACAUGCAAGUCGAGCGAAUGGGUUAAGAGCUUGCUCUUAUGAAGUUAGCGGCGGACGGGUGAGUAACACGUGGGUAACCUGCCCAUAAGACUGGGAUAACUCCGGGAAACCGGGGCUAAUACCGGAUAACAUUUUGAACCGCAUGGUUCGAAAUUGAAAGGCGGCUUCGGCUGUCACUUAUGGAUGGACCCGCGUCGCAUUAGCUAGUUGGGGAGGUAACGGCUCACCAAGGCAACGAUGCGUAGCCGACCUGAGAGGGUGAUCGGCCACACUGGGACUGAGACACGGCCAAGACUCCUACGGGAGGCAGCAGUAGGGAAUCUUCCGCAAUGGACGAAAGUCUGACGGAGCAACGCCGCGUGAGUGAUGAAGGCUUUCGGGUCGUAAAACUCUGUUGUUAGGGAAGAACAAGUGCUAGUUGAAUAAGCUGGCACCUUGACGGUACCUAACCAGAAAGCCACGGCUAACUACGUGCCAGCAGCCGCAGUAA